rnacentral:rRNA from 1 species
UACGGAAGGCAGCAGUGGGGAAUAUUGCACAAUGGGCGAAAGCCUGAUGCAGCUAUGCCGCGUGUAUGAAGAAGGCCUUAGGGUUGUAAAGUACUUUCAUCGGGGAGGAAAAACAAACUAAUAAUUUUAUUUCUUGACGUUACCCGAAAAAGAAGCACCGGCUAACUCCGUGCUAGCAGCCGCGGUAAUACGGAGGGUGCUAGCGUUAAUCAGAAUUACUGGGCGUAAAGAGCACGUAGGUGGUUUUUUUAAGUCAGAUGUGAAAUCCCUGGGCUUAACCUAGGAACUGCAUUUUGAAACUGAAAUACUAGAGUAUCGUAGAGGGAGGUAGAAUUCUAGGUGUAGCGGUGAAAUGCGUAGAUAUCUGGAGGAAUACCUGUGGCGAAAGCGGCCUCCUAAACCGAAUACUGACACUGAGGGUGCGAAAGCGUGGGGAGCAAACAGGAUUAGAUACC